rnacentral:rRNA from 1 species
CCUACGGGGGGCUGCAGUGAGGAAUAUUGGUCAAUGGCCGUAAGGCUGAACCAGCCAAGUCGCGUGAAGGAAGAAGGCCCUCGGGUUGUAAACCUCUUUUAUCAGGGACGAAGCAAGUGACGGUACCUGCUGAAUAAGCCACGGCUAACUACGUGCCAGCAGCCGCGGUAAUACGUAGGUGGCAAGCGUUAUCCGGAUUUACUGGGUGUAAAGGGCGUGUAGGCGGGAAAGCAAGUCAGAUGUGAAAACCAUGGGCUCAACAUGUGGCCUGCAUUUGAAACUGUUUUUCUUGAGUACUGGAGAGGCAGACGGAAUUCCUAGUGUAGCGGUGAAAUGCGUAGAUAUUAGGAGGAACACCAGUGGCGAAGGCGGUCUGCUGGACAGCAACUGACGCUGAGGUGCGAAAGCGUGGGGAGCAAACAGGAUUAGAUACCCGAGUAGUC